rnacentral:rRNA from 1 species
CGGACGGGUGAGUAACACGUGGGCAACCUGCCUGUAAGACUGGGAUAACUCCGGGAAACCGGGGCUAAUACCGGAUAACUCAGUUCCUCGCAUGAGGAACGGUUGAAAGGUGGCUUUUCGCUACCACUUACAGAUGGACCCGCGGCGCAUUAGCUAGUUGGUGAGGUAACGGCUCACCAAGGCGACGAUGCGUAGCCGACCUGAGAGGGUGAUCGGCCACACUGGGACUGAGACACGGCCCAGACUCCUACGGGAGGCAGCAGUAGGGAAUCUUCCGCAAUGGACGAAAGUCUGACGGAGCAACGCCGCGUGAACGAUGAAGGUUUUCGGAUCGUAAAGUUCUGUUGUUAGGGAAGAACAAGUACCGUUCAAACAGGCGGUACCUUGACGGUACCUAACGAGAAAGCCCCGGCUA